CCUACGGGGGGCAGCAGUGGGGAAUAUUGCGCAAUGGGCGAAAGCCUGACGCAGCGACGCCGCGUGAGGGAUGAAGGUCUUCGGAUCGUAAACCUCUGUCAGCAGGGAAGAACGGUCACUGUGCUAAUCAGCAGUGAAUUGACGGUACCUGCACAGGAAGCACCGGCUAACGCCGUGCCAGCAGCCGCGGUAAAACGGAGGGUGCGAGCGUUAAUCGGAAUUACGGGGCGUAAAGCGCUCGUAGGCGGUAUGUCAAGUCAAGGGUGAAAUCCCAUGGCUGAAGGUGUGAACUGCCUUUGAAACUGGUAAACUGGAGUAUGUGAGAGGUAAGUGGAAUUCUAGGUGUAGGAGUAAAAUCCGUAGAUAUCGAGAGGAAUAUUCGUGGCGAAGGCGACUAGCUGGAACAUAACUGACGCUGAGGAGCGAAAGCGUGGGGAGCAAACAGGAUUAGAUACCCUUGUAGUC
rnacentral:rRNA from 1 species